AGUGAACGCUGGCGGUAGGCCUAACACAUGCAAGUCGAACGGCAGCACAGUAAGAGCUUGCUCUUACGGGUGGCGAGUGGCGGACGGGUGAGGAAUACAUCGGAAUCUACUUUUUCGUGGGGGAUAACGUAGGGAAACUUACGCUAAUACCGCAUACGACCUACUGGUGAAAGCAGGGGAUCUUCGGACCUUGCGCGAUUGAAUGAGCCGAUGUCGGAUUAGCUAGUUGGCGGGGUAAAGGCCCACCAAGGCGACGAUCCGUAGCUGGUCUGAGAGGAUGAUCAGACACACUGGAACUGAGACACGGUCCAGACUCCUACGGGAGGCAGCAGUGGGGAAUAUUGGACAAUGGGCGCAAGCCUGAUCCAGCCAUACCGCGUGGGUGAAGAAGGCCUUCGGGUUGUAAAGCCCUUUUGUUGGGAAAGAAAAGCAGCAGGUUAAUACCCCGCUGUUCUGACGGUACCCAAAGAAUAAGCACCGGCUAACUUCGUG
rnacentral:rRNA from 1 species